GAUCAACUUAGGUGAUUUCUGGCAAAACCGGGUGAAUUUGAGGCUCAUUCGGGAGAUUUGAGGCUGAAGCAGGAUUUCCCAUUGCCAAGCCCUGGGAGGCUGUGAGGAAGAGGAAGAUGCCCCGGGACACGCAGGCAGAGCAGGAGCUGAGGCUGGAGAGCAGGGAGGACAAAUCCCCGGGGCAGAAGCUCGUGGCAGAGGCCGUUUGGAGCGGCUCCACGGCGCAGGAAGGCAA